rnacentral:rRNA from 1 species
UACGUAGGUGGCAAGCAUUAUCCGGAUUUAUUGGGCGUAAAGCGAGUGUAGGCGGUCCUUUCAAGUCGGAUAUGAAAUCUCCCGGCUCAACUGGGAGAGGUUAUUCGAUACUGUUAGACUAGAGUGCAGCAGAGGGAGAUGGAAUUCCCGGUGUAGUGGUGAAAUGCGUAGAUAUCGGGAGGAACACCAGUGGCGAAGGCGGUCUCCUGGGCUGUUACUGACGCUGAGGCUCAAAAGCGUGGGGA